AAGACUAUAGACCUGCGGAGUACCUGCGGAAGGAUCAUUACCGAGUUAUACAACUCAUCAACCCUGUGAACAUACCUAUAACGUUGCCUCGGCGGGAACAGACGGCCCCGUAACACGGGCCGCCCCCGCCAGAGGACCCCCUAACUCUGUUUCUAUAAUGUUUCUUCUGAGUAAACAAGCAAAUAAAUUAAAACUUUUAACAAUGGAUCUCU
rnacentral:misc_RNA from 1 species